GUGUCAUAUCAUCUAAUUUUAUUAAGUAAAUAUCAAACAAAUUAUUUUGGAAAUUAAGACUAUAUUAAUAAAUUGAAUAAAAGUUUGACUACGUGCACCUGUGGAGUCACAUAAGUAUUAAUGUAUUACAUUAUUUCUCAGAUUACCUUGGAAAUUUGCAUUUACUAACAAAUAGAUUAAUGUAUUACAUUAUUUCUCAGAUUACCUUGGAAAUUUGCAUUUACUAACAAAUAGAAAAAGAAAAAAAAAAUUUGAAUACUCUGGUGUCCUUAACCCCCAAAUUUUUCUCUCACUGUAUUUCCGAGUUCGAACCCAUAGAUAAAAUGUUUAUAAUAUAAACAAAGAGUAUUUGAACUUGUUGACAAAAAAAAAGACAGAGUAUAUUUGAACUUUGGACUAUACUACUUAACUUUGGCAUUGUUUACUUGUGAA
rnacentral:lncRNA from 1 species